UGGUUCUGGCAUCGAUGAAGAACGCAGCGAAAUGCGAUAAGUAAUGCGAAUUGCAGAAUUCCGUGAGUCAUCGAAUCUUUGAACGCACAUUGCGACCCUUGGCAUUCCGAAGGGCAUGCCUGUUCGAGCGUCAUUAUCAACCCUCAAGCCUGGCUUGCUGUUGGACCGUGGGUGAGGUCGUCCUCCACCCGGUCUCAAAGACAAUGACGGCGUCGCCUGGACCCGCGGUACACUGAGCUUUCACGAGCACGUACCGACGGAGCCCAGGGGGCCCGGUCACUCCUCUUCUUCUCAGGUUGACCUCGGAUCAGGUAGGGAUACCCGCUGA
rnacentral:misc_RNA from 1 species